CCUACGGGGUUCCUCCCUGGGGAAUAUUGGACAAUGGGGGCAACCCUGAUCCAGCCAUGCCGCGUGUGUGAAGAAGGCCCUCGGGUUGUAAAGCACUUUCAGUGAGGAAGAACGCCUGGUGGUUAAUACCCAUCAGGAAAGACAUCACUCACAGAAGAAGCACCGGCUAACUCCGUGCCAGCAGCCGCGGUAAUACGGAGGGUGCGAGCGUUAAUCGGAAUUACUGGGCGUAAAGCGCGCGUAGGUGGCUUGAUAAGCCGGUUGUGAAAGCCCCGGGCUCAACCUGGGAACGGCAUCCGGAACUGUCAAGCUAGAGUGCAGGAGAGGAAGGUAGAAUUCCCGGUGUAGCGGUGAAAUGCGUAGAGAUCGGGAGGAAUACCAGUGGCGAAGGCGGCCUUCUGGACUGACACUGACACUGAGGUGCGAAAGCGUGGGUAGCAAACAGGAUUAGAUACCCUGGUAGUC
rnacentral:rRNA from 1 species